rnacentral:rRNA from 1 species
UACGAAGGGGGCUAGCGUUGCUCGGAAUCACUGGGCGUAAAGCGCACGUAGGCGGCUUUCUAAGUCAGGGGUGAAAUCCUGGAGCUCAACUCCAGAACUGCCUUUGAUACCGGAGAGCUAGAGUCCGGAAGAGGUGAGUGGAACUGCGAGUGUAGAGGUGAAAUUCGUAGAUAUUCGCAAGAACACCAGUGGCGAAGGCGGCUCACUGGUCCGGUACUGACGCUGAGGUGCGAAAGCGUGGGGAGCAAACAGG